AACGAACGCUAGCGGUGUGGAUUAGGCAUGCAAGUCGUGCGCGAAAGUCUUCGGACAAGUAAAGCGGCGUAAGGGUGAGUAACACGUAACCAACGUACCCUGCAGAUUGGAAUAACCUCUGGAAACGGUGGAUAAUGCCAAAUGGUCUCUCGGGUGGCAUCACCCGAAGAGUAAACGGCGGCUUCGGCUGCUGCUGCGGGAGCGGGUUGCGGCCUAUCAGCUUGUUGGUGGGGUAACGGCCUACCAAGGCGAUGACGGGUAGCGGGUCUGAGAGGAUGAUCCGUCACACUGGGACUGAGACACUGCCCAGACUCCUACGGGAGGCUGCAGUCGAGAAUCUUCCACAAUGGGCGAAAGCCUGAUGGAGCGACACCGCGUGCAGGAUGAAGGCCCUAGGGUUGUAAACUGCUGUCACGCUAUAGGAACCCACGGCAGUUAAUAGUUGUCGUGCUGACUAAAGCGAGAGGAAGCGCCGGCUAACUCCG
rnacentral:rRNA from 1 species